rnacentral:rRNA from 1 species
GACGAACGCUGUCGGCGUGCUUAACACAUGCAAGUCGAACGGAAAGGCCCUGCUUUUGUGGGGUGCUCGAGUGGCGAACGGGUGAGUAACACGUGAGUAACCUGCCCUUGACUUUGGGAUAACUUCAGGAAACUGGGGCUAAUACCGGAUAGGAGCUCCUGCUGCAUGGUGGGGGUUGGAAAGUUUCGGCGGUUGGGGAUGGACUCGCGGCUUAUCAGCUUGUUGGUGGGGUAGUGGCUUACCAAGGCUUUGACGGGUAGCCGGCCUGAGAGGGUGACCGGCCACAUUGGGCCUGAGAUACGGCCCAGACUCCUACGGGAGGCAGCAGUGGGGAAUAUUGCACAAUGGGCGGAAGCCUGAUGCAGCAACGCCGCGUGCGGGAUGACGGCCUUCGGGUUGUAAACCGCUUUCGCCUGUGACGAAGCGUGAGUGACGGUAAUGGGUAAAGAAGCACCGGCUAACUACGUGCCAGCGGCCGCGGUGAUACGUAGGGUGCGAGCGUUGUCCGGAUUUAUUGGGCGUAAAGGGCUCGUAGGUGGUUGAUCGCGUCGGAAGUGUAAUCUUGGGGCUUAACCCUGAGCGUGCUUUCGAUACGGGUUGACUUGAGGAAGGUAGGGGAGAAUGGAAUUCCUGGUGGAGCGGUGGAAUGCGCAGAUAUCAGGAGGAACACCAGUGGCGAAGGCGGUUCUCUGGGCCUUUCCUGACGCUGAGGAACGAAAGCGUGGGGAGCGAACAGGCUUAGAUACCCUGGUAGUCCACGCUGUAAACGGUGGGUACUAGGUGUGGGGUCCAUUCCACGGGUUCCGUGCCGUAGCUAACGCUUUAAGUACCCCGCCUGGGGAGUACGGCCGCAAGGCUAAAACUCAAAGGAAUUGACGGGGCCCCGCACAAGCGGCGGAGCAUGCGGAUUAAUUCGAUGCAACGCGUAGAACCUUACCUGGGUUUGACAUGGAUCGGGAGUGCUCAGAGAUGGGUGUGCCUCUUUUGGGGUCGGUUCACAGGUGGUGCAUGCCUGUCGUCAGCUCGUGUCGUGAGAUGUUGGGUUAAGUCCCGCAACGAGCGCAACCCUUGUUCACUGUUGCCAGCACGUUAUGGUGGGGACUCAGUGGAGACCGCCGGGGUCAACUCGGAGGAAGGUGGGGAUGACGUCAAGUCCUCAUGCCCCUUAUGUCCAGGGCUUCACGCAUGCUACAAUGGCUGGUACAGAGAGUGGCGAGCCUGUGAGGGUGAGCGAAUCUCGGAAAGCCGGUCUCAGUUCGGAUUGGGGUCUGCAACUCGACCUCAUGAAGUCGGAGUCGCUAGUAAUCGCAGAUCAGCAACGCUGCGGUGAAUACGUUCCCGGGGCU